UUGUGAGGAAGCCUAGGCCCCAUGGAGGGGCCACAAAGAUAUAUUCCAGACAGCAGCCCCAGCAAAGGUCUCAAUCAACCACCAGUGUGUGAGUGAAGACACCUUCAGAUAAUUUUGCUUCCCAGACAUCAAGUCUUCCAGCUGGGUCCAAGACAUCACAAGGCAGAGACAAGCCCUCCCCUCUGUGCACUGUUGGAAUUCCCCACCCACAGAAACUGUGAGCAUAAGAAAAGGUUGAAAGCGGUGUAAAUUGCUCUUAUCUGAACCACAAUGAAUUCACAUAUUCAAGUUGGCUUCUUGGGAAAUUUCAGGCCACAAAAGGCAGUGAUGCAAUCAGGAGCAGCAACACAUGCCACUUCCAUCCAGAUGGAAGGACCCCAGGUCAAGGCCUGAUAGGAGGAGCAGGAGCCAUCAAUGAGAGCAGACCUCAGAAGGCUGACGGAGGGGAGAGGAGCACCAUCCACAGCCCCAUCCUCUGGAUGCUGUGGGAAGUAGUCCACAAAAUACUGCCCCUUGGAGUGAGUCAGUAGCAGAGCGCUUGCUGCUGGCUGCAAAUACCCCGUCAGAACAUGUUUGGGGUGAUUCUUGAACCUGGUUUCAAUUUCUUUUCUGCCAGUCAGCAGCUGUGCUUGACUCACAGUUCGUUGCAAUCUCUUGAAUUAAACUCAGGGAACAGGAUAAAAAUCAGAACCACAUUG